rnacentral:rRNA from 1 species
GACGAACCGUCCAAACGUUCUUCGGAAUCACUGGGCUUACAGAGUUCGUAGGCGGUCCGGUAAGUUAGGUGUGAAAUCCCUCGGCUCAACCGAGGAACUGCGCUUGAUACUGCCGGACUCGAGGGAGAUAGAGGAAAGCGGAACUGAUGGUGGAGCGGUGAAAUGCGUUGAUAUCAUCAGGAACACCGGUGGCGAAGGCGGCUUUCUGGGUCUCUUCUGACGCUGAGGAACGAAAGCUAGGGUAGCGAACGGG